AUGACUGCAAUUUUAGAGAGACGCGAAAGUACAAGCCUGUGGGGUCGCUUCUGCAACUGGAUAACUAGCACUGAAAAUCGUCUUUACAUCGGAUGGUUCGGUGUUUUGAUGAUCCCUACCUUAUUGACCGCAACUUCUGUAUUUAUUAUCGCCUUCAUCGCUGCCCCUCCAGUAGAUAUUGAUGGUAUUCGUGAGCCUGUUUCUGGUUCUUUACUUUAUGGAAACAAUAUUAUCUCUGGUGCUAUUAUCCCUACUUCUGCGGCGAUCGGAUUGCACUUUUACCCAAUUUGGGAAGCCGCAUCUGUUGAUGAGUGGUUAUACAAUGGUGGUCCUUAUGAGCUAAUUGUUCUACACUUCUUACUUGGUGUAGCUUGUUAUAUGGGUCGUGAGUGGGAACUUAGUUUCCGUCUGGGUAUGCGUCCUUGGAUUGCUGUUGCAUAUUCAGCUCCUGUUGCAGCUGCUACUGCUGUUUUCUUGAUUUACCCUAUUGGUCAAGGAAGCUUUUCUGAUGGUAUGCCUUUAGGAAUCUCUGGUACUUUCAACUUUAUGAUUGUAUUCCAGGCAGAGCACAACAUCCUUAUGCAUCCAUUCCACAUGUUAGGUGUAGCUGGUGUAUUCGGCGGUUCCCUAUUCAGUGCUAUGCAUGGUUCCUUGGUAACCUCUAGUUUGAUCAGGGAAACUACUGAAAAUGAAUCUGCUAAUGAGGGUUACAAAUUUGGUCAAGAGGAAGAAACUUAUAAUAUUGUGGCUGCUCAUGGUUAUUUUGGCUGA
rnacentral:rRNA from 1 species